rnacentral:antisense_RNA from 1 species
CGUUAUGGCGGUUGUGCGCGGGAGACCCCAGGGUCUGCCGGGUGGGUAGGUAACCGGUCUUGCACACCCGCGCACAGCUGCCACCUUC